rnacentral:rRNA from 1 species
UACGUAGGGCGCAAGCGUUGUCCGGAAUUAUUGGGCGUAAAGAGCUCGUAGGCGGCUUGUCGCGUCGAAUGUGAAAACUUGGGGCUCAACUCCAAGCUUGCAUUCGAUACGGGCAGGCUAGAGUUCGGUAGGGGAGACUGGAAUUCCUGGUGUAGCGGUGAAAUGCGCAGAUAUCAGGAGGAACACCGGUGGCGAAGGCGGGUCUCUGGGCAACAACUGACGCUGAGGAGCGAAAGCGUGGGGAGCGAACAGG